ensembl:misc_RNA Metazoa_SRP Metazoan signal recognition particle RNA
GCCGGGCAUGGUGGUGCGUGCCUGUAAUCCCAGCUACUCGGGAGGCUGAGGCAGGAGAAUCACUUGCACCCAGGAGGCAGAGGUUGCAGUGAGCUGAGAUCACGCCAUUGCACUCCUGCCUGGGCUACAGAGCGAGACUCUGUCUCAA